rnacentral:tRNA from 1 species
GGGGCGGUAGCUCAGUUGGGAGAGCGCCACGCUCGCAUCGUGGAGGUCGAGGGUUCGAGUCCCUUCCGCUCCACCA